GAAAGAAACAAAUACGUGGAACCUCACGUCCACAUGUAGCAAGAGCCGCUCUAGUUGCCACGACGGUGCUUGUAUAAUUCAUACUUGUGCCUUGGGAACAAACAUGGAUCCUGAUUAUUCGUGAAUCUUGUGUGAAACAACGUUUAUACAUAUCAGGCCGUGUGAUAUAGCUUGCAACUUGCAAACAACUGCAAGGCGUUAUAAAUAAACUACACGAAAUUACUAUAAUUGAGCAUAUGAGAAGCUUCUGAGGGAGAGAAAGGGUGGAUGUGACAAUUUCAGUUGGUUAGCUUCGAGUUGGAGGUACACACCCUAAGCUAAGUUGGCUUGCAUCUUUUGCAACCGGGUAGAGUUACUUGGUUUUUUCUUCACGAGAGAUUUCUAUGAUAAUUCCGUGACUCCUGUCUACAUUUUCGUUAAUUACUAAAGCCAUUUCUUUUUCUUUUGCGGGUGGAUAAAGCCAUCUUUGUAAUCUCAAAAAAAGGAAAAUCAACCACCUGGAUAUAUAUGGUGGCAUAGCUACCGUCCAUAUUUGUAAGGUUCUGUAGUUAUUUAGGACCCUAACCUUUCUUCCUAAUAUCUAGUGUACAAUGCAUAUCUGUGAUACGGCCCAGAUUAUGCUCAAUAUGAUACGUCAGAUCUGGACCGGAGGGACAAGAUUGACCAUCCUUACUUCCAGGGACGGAUCUAAGGGGAGACGAGGGGGGCUAGACCCCCCUCAAUGAAUUGAUUCUUUUUCAAUAUUAGUAGUUACUUCAGCCAAAAUUUCCUAAAAACUGAAAGCUUUGCCCCCUUCAUCAGCAAGCUUGCCCCCUCCAUGCGUUCACCCCUACGUUCCUG
rnacentral:lncRNA from 1 species